rnacentral:misc_RNA from 1 species
AACGCACAUUGCGCCCCUUGGUAUUCCGGGGGGCAUGCCUGUUCGAGCGUCAUUUAUACCAAUCAAGCCUGGCUUGGUGUUGAGGCUCGCUCUCUAGCGGUCUCUAAAUACAGUGGCGGUGCCGUUGGGCUCUCAGCGUAGUAAUACUCCUCGCUGUAGAGUCCCGCGGUAGCUUGCCAGCAACCCUAAUCUUUUUAAGGUUGACCUCGGAUCAGGUAGGGAUACCCGCUGAACUUAA